CAUAUACUCCCUCCGUCCGAAAAAGCCUGUCCCUCAAAUGGAUGUAUCUAGCACUAACUUGAUGCUAGAUACAUCCAUUUGAGGGGCAAGCUUUUUCGGACGGAGGGAGUAUAUA
rnacentral:pre_miRNA from 1 species